UACGGGGGGAGCAAGCGUUGUUCGGAUUUACUGGGCGUAAAGGGCGCGUAGGCGGCCACCGCAAGUCGACUGUGAAAUCUCCGGGCUUAACCCGGAAAGGUCAGCCGAUACUGCGGGGCUAGAGUGCAGAAGGGGCAACUGGAAUUCUCGGUGUAGCGGUGAAAUGCGUAGAUAUCGAGAGGAACACCUGCGGCGAAGGCGGGUGCUGGGCUGACACUUGACGCUGAGGCGCGAAAGCUAGGGGAGCGAACGGG
rnacentral:rRNA from 1 species